UAGGGAAUCUUCCACAAUGGACGCAAGUCUGAUGGAGCAACGCCGCGUGAGUGAAGAAGGUUUUCGGAUCGUAAAGCUCUGUUGUUGGUGAAGAAGGAUGGAGGUAGUAACUGGCCUUUAUUUGACGGUAAUCAACCAGAAAGUCACGGCUAACUACGUGCCAGCAGCCGCGGUAAUACGUAGGUGGCAAGCGUCGUCCGGAUUUAUUGGGCGUAAAGCGAGCGCAGGCGGAAGAAUAAGUCUGAUGUGAAAGCCCUCGGCUUAACCGAGGAACUGCAUCGGAAACUGUUUUUCUUGAGUGCAGACGAGGAGAGUGGAAUUCCAUGUGUAGCGGUGGAAUGCGUAGAUAUAUGGAAGAGCACCAGUGGCGAAGGCGACUCUCUGGUCUGCAACUGACGCUGAGGCUCGAAAGCAUGGGUAGCGAACAGG
rnacentral:rRNA from 1 species